AACGACUCUCGGCAACGGAUAUCUCGGCUCUCGCAUCGAUGAAGAACGUAGCGAAAUGCGAUACUUGGUGUGAAUUGCAGAAUCCCGUGAACCAUCGAGUUUUUGAACGCAAGUUGCGCCCUAAGCCUUUUGGYCGAGGGCACGCUUGCCUGGGCGUCACGC
rnacentral:rRNA from 1 species